UUCACCCUCAUCUUGAUCCAGGCUUCGUAAAAGAGGCCACCUUCAGCUUUGCUGGAUUCAUCAAACUGUGUCUCUUCCACAACUUCUAUUGCUUCAGUGAUCACAUGCAGAUCUUUCGUGGGACUGGCUGGCAGCACCUUUCACUUCUACUGCAGCUGAUUCAACUUGUCCACCAAUAUCCCCCUCCAAUGUUCCAUCCACUUGGUUCACAAUGUGAAUUGAGGUUGAAUCCUGGACAUCUGGGCACAAAAGUCAAGAACAUCUGCAGUUAUGAAAGAUGAAGAAAAAGAGCAGCAUGGCCAAGUAGGAGCACUGCAAGCAGACAAUAUGCCUUAACAAUGUAGGUAUGGAAUACCCGUUUUUUGCCCAUUGGUCCCCAAUUAUAUUACUGAUCCUGGCUUGU